CAACUACUAGGUGAAACUGCCACAUGAUCUGAUCUUUCCACGGCAAGUGAGGGAAGUUAAGAUCAUGCUGGCAGCUUCAACUGGUAGUGGUGCAUGAUGGUAGACAGAUAUUGGGAAGAACAAGAACCAGAACAAGUGUUCUAAAAGGUAA
rnacentral:pre_miRNA from 1 species